rnacentral:rRNA from 1 species
GGUGAAACCGCGAAUGGCUCAUUAAAUCACACCUAAUGUCCUGGAUAGUCUCAGUUACUUGGAUAACUGCGGUAAUUCUGGAGCUAAUACAUGCGCACAAGCCUCGACUUACGUAGAGGCGCUUUUAUUAGAUCAAAACCAAACGGCCUCGUGUCGUCUUCUUGGUGAUUCUGAAUAACUUUGGGCAGAUCGCACGGCCUUGCGCCGGCGACGUAUCCUUCCAAGGUGUGCCCUAUCAACUGUCGACUGUGGCAUAGACGCCCACAGUGGUUUUGACGGGUAACGGGGAAUUAGGGUUCGAUUCCGGAGAGGGAGCCUGAGAAACGGCUACCACUUCUACGGAAGGCAGCAGGCACGCAAAUUACCCACUGGUCGAAGACCGAGGUAGUGACGAAAAAUAACGAUACCGGACUCAUCCGAGGCCCGGUAAUCGGAAU